AGGGGGGAGGAGGGGAGGACGGAUGGGGAGGAAGGGUGGCCGAGGGUGGCCGGGGUGAGCGCUUCCUGUAUUGGCUAGCUGCUGCCAGGCUUUUUGCAAGGAAACAGGAAUUUGCCACUGGUUUAAAAAUGCUCCCCAAUGGGAGUGAUGGGGUUAUGGCAGGUGCAGGGGUCGAGACAGUUGUGUGCCUUCCGUGGGUGGAUGUAUAGCACAAAAUAAGCACAUCUAGUGAAGCUCUAACACUGCUUAUGCACAGGCGUGUUGUGUAAACCUGUUCAUCUGUCUUGUGAAAUUUUUACGUCUUUCUGUGAAAGCCUAAAGCUUAUAGGAUUCAAAACUAGAUGCAAGGAGGAGUCUCCAGGCUAGGAAGGGAGUUUAAACGUGCCACAUGUCCCUGUCGUAUAGUCCCAGCAAUUGCUCUUGCUAUGUCUGCACAUACAGCAGAGCUGGCUUCCAACCUUGUUUUAUACGUCUUUAGCAAAGCUCUGAGGUACCUCCAACCAGUGCUAGCUGGAAGAGGACGGCUUCUGUCGCUUCUUCAGACACGGCUCUCAACCAGCUGACCAGAACAGUACCCUAAGCAAUGCAAUAAUGGCAGCAGCAGGGUUUGGAAUAGCAGGAUUAGCUUUUCUCUUGGUGGUGCGGUAGGCUGAUGAACGGAUCUUGCAAUGGGAAAGUACUCUCAAAACUGACAAUUUCCAGAUUUCAUUCUAUUUUCUAUAGAACAGACCCUCUAAGAAGAAGUUUAUAUUUUUAAACUGGCUUGGAAAACUGUCUUACCAGAUCCUUGGCUAUAAACUGCUUCACUCGCUACCCAGUAACAGCACAAACAAAUGUGUACUAAACCACCAUUUGUGCAUGUUCAAAACCUGUCGUCUCCAAACAUCCUUUGGACUUUCUUUUUAAAGGUGUAACCUAAACAUUACCAUGGUUCAUGUACUGUAACUUUUGAGUGCUCAAUGUUAUGCUAGGAUGAGUUAUAGUGGACUUGAAACUAAAUCCUCUGUUCAAGAUGUCUUAUUUAAAUGGAGGCAAGUCUCAACUCAACUUCCAUUAAUACUGUAAAGUGAGCUAACGUUGACUGUGAUAUAACAUGGUUUGUAGCUUCAAAUGCAGUGCACUGCACUUGUUACUGAAAGGCAACUCAUUGGUUGAUGUAGAGCAAUUAGUACCCAUGAUGUGAGAGGCAUUAUGGCUUAAUAUAACAUAAGGCUGAUUUCAUUACACUACAAGAAGUUAAGUAUUGAUACAGAACAGUAAUGGCUGCAGUACCAGUUCUUACUGAAAAGAAUUUAAAUAUUAAACCUUAAUUGGUAUAUUGAAAUCCAGUGAAGGCUGGAAUUUCUCUGGAUUUCCCUGACAAAACGAGAAUUUCCAUAUAUCUUAAUAUAUUUUUGAAGUAUUUAUCACCAUAUAAUACCUGUAGCCAUGACAUCUUUAUUUUUGUGUAAAACUUCAUUUUUAAUGCUGGUUCUUAUCACCGUAGCAUGUAUCAAGCAUUGUCUUGUUUGAGUAAUAUUUCACUCAUGCUGUCUAUUUCUUUCAAUGGUUGUACAAAUUGCCUUAUGUUUCUGGUAGCUUUUAACGUUCCUGGGUUACUUAUAGCUUGUACAAUUUUACUAUGGUGACUUCAAAUGGUGAAUAAAUGUUAAGUAUUUUUAUUUUAAAAAGCUAAC
rnacentral:lncRNA from 1 species